rnacentral:rRNA from 1 species
GAUGAACGCUGGCGGCGUGCCUAAUACAUGCAAGUCGAGCGAACAGACGAGGAGCUUGCUCCUCUGACGUUAGCGGCGGACGGGUGAGUAACCCGUGGAUAACCUACCUAUAAGACUGGGAUAACUUCGGGAAACCGGAGCUAAUACCGGAUAAUAUAUUGAACCGCAUGGUUCAAUAGUGAAAGACGGUUUUGCUGUCACUUAUAGAUGGAUCCGCGCCGCAUUAGCUAGUUGGUAAGGUAACGGCUUACCAAGGCAACGAUGCGUAGCCGACCUGAGAGGGUGAUCGGCCACACUGGAACUGAGACACGGUCCAGACUCCUACGGGAGGCAGCAGUAGGGAAUCUUCCGCAAUGGGCGAAAGCCUGACGAAGCAACGCCGCGUGAGUGAUGAAGGUCUUCGGAUCGUAAAACUCUGUUAUUAGGGAAGAACAAAUGUGUAAGUAACUAUGCACGUCUUGACGGUACCUAAUCAGAAAGCCACGGCUAACUACGUG